AUUCCUCAGCUAUCUUUAUCAAUCGUGACAGCAUCUGAGCCAACUUUUGCUGACGGUCUGCAAGCUCUCCUCUUCCAGUGAAAUCCACUCGAAAUAAAGCAAUCACAGAGUCAACAAUCAGAAGUCUGAAAGGCUCUUCAGCCAUUUUUGCUGCCAGACCAAGAAGCAGGUUAUAUUGAUGUUCAUAUGUGUAUGCGCGAGCAUAAAUGAUAUUGUCAAGAACUGCUCCAGCGUCCAUUCCAAAUCUUUCAGCAAUGGGAACAACACGAUCUGGCCGAAAUGUUCCCUCAGUAUCAAUGUAAGCCACCUUUCCAUUCCCUCCUUUCAUACUAGUCGGAAGCUGAGUAGAGACACAGAGAGUAUGAGCAAGUUGUGUCUUUCCAGAUCUGAAUUCCCCAAAAGCUUCAGUUAUUGCUGAAGUUUCUAUUCCUCCUCCUAAGAGUUCAUCCAAUGCCUGGCUUCCAGUUGUGAUGCGAACUACUGCCUUCCUUUUGAGCAGAGCAUCACUCCCAGUAAUGUAGCCGAAGUUCACUAUCUUCUCCGCUGCUUCACAGAUCUUUUCAACUUUUGCCUCAGAUAACCCUUUGAUCCCA
rnacentral:misc_RNA from 1 species